rnacentral:lncRNA from 1 species
AGGUCCAACAACAUUUUAUUCUGCAACUUUAUUUUCUACAGUUCCUUUUUAAAUCAGAGAGAAGAGGUAUUCCCUUAUUGAGACUUGUAAAGUCAUAGAGUGUCUGGAGAUUUACUGCCUCCAUUACGCUGCUGGAUCUCACGACACUUGUUAUGUUUUCAUUAUUUUCUCUGCAGAAGGCAGCUAGCUGAACCACUGAGCUAAAUCCCCGGCCCAAAAAGUAAGAACUGUUUUUGUUUUUGUUUUUGUUUGGUACCAGGGAUCAAACUCGGGACCAUGAACUUUCAAGGUAGGCAGUAGAACCACUAAGCUAAAUCCCCGACCCUGUCGUAGGUUUCUGACCUUGGGAACUGUAUCUAGUCCUUGGCCCCUUUAUUUCUGGCUCCUUCCAUGCUCUCUGCUUUCCUGAUGCCAUGAACUGAGCAGCUUUCUUCCAUCAUGCCCUUCCAUCAUACUCUUUCUGCUUUGGAGCAAGCUAACAAUGGACGGAAACCUCUGAAACCAUGAGCCAGUAUAAACCUUUUCUCCUUUAAGCUGUAUAUACCAGGCAUUUUUUUCCCCACCAAGAGAGGUUACUAAUUAAAAUAGAGUAUAUGUUCAGUGAAUGACUGAACUUAUCCAAUAUGUAGCUGUUGCAACUUUGUGCAGGAUCCAGACGAUGAUGCAAGAAGGGCUGUAUCAUCUAAUAAGACAUUGGGAGCUAACUGUGCCUUUUUUUUUUUUUUUUUUUUUUGGUACUGGGUAUCGAACUCAGGUCCUUGCGCUUGCGCAGAAGGCGGCGAAACCACUGAGCUAAAUCCCCGGCCCCAACUGUGCUUAUUUUUAGUGUAUGUGCUGCC